UCUCCUUUUAUAGAAUUUUCAUUUUUGUUUCUGAUCGCUGAACGGUUUACAUAGGCAUAUGUACAUUUUGCGAUUAUAAGCUUGAGACCACUCCCUCUCGAGCAGAGCGUAAAUUGUUUCGUGGAAAUUCACUGAUUGGCAGGUGAGGUCUGUUGUAUAGAUAAAAUGUUCUAGUUUGUGCGGCAAGAAGUCGUUUAUGGGAUAUUAUUUCAUCCGUUGUAACAACGAUUACUAUUUCUCGUUUUAAUUUACCUUUUGUAUUUUAAUCUUAUUUUCUUCCUUAAUUUUUCGAAACUUAAAAAUGAGUAUAAAGAAAUUGAUGCAAAAUCCGCGCUCAAUUCUUGCCGUUUGUUAAAUGAUUUUCAGAAAUGUUACAAUUACGAGAAAAAUAUACGAAAUUGGGAGGACAUUACAUAAAAUACAAAAAUCUUAGGACCAAUUCUAUGAUCACAUUUAAUCACACGAUAAUUACUAUUAACAGCAAUGAAACAAAUAAAAACGUAAUGUUAACAAUAAAAUCGAUGUGCUUGGUGAACUUUCAUUCAUUACAGCUUCUGAGAGUUAACAUCUAUUUAUUCUUACAUUUACAAUUUAGAACUCGAAUUCGAAAUAAAUUGCGAAACUGCGAAACUUGGAUGCUUUAACCUUUGUGUUCCACAAUUAGCAUUGCUGUUUGUUGACCGAGGGAGAUCGAACGUUUUCCAGAAAGAGGAGCUCACUGACGUGCGGCGAUCCGUCAGAGAGGACGAAUUGUUGAAUCGCCGCCAAGAAGGAAGCGUUUUGCAAAAUCUUACAAAUUAACUUGCGUACACAUUCUCAAAGCAAAUACAUAGUCGAGGACCAGGGAGAAGAAAGUCAGAAAUUGCAGAAGAAAAAUACAUGUAAGUACAUUUUUGUUGAAUUUCUAAUUUUAUCUCGACAGGAGAAGAAAGUUGAAGAUUACGGAGGACGAACAUACGUAAGUACAUUUUUGUUGAAUUUCUAAUUUUAAUUCGAUAGAGGAAGUUUAACAUGACAAUUGAAAAUGAAAAUAACCUGUUACGUAUAAGCAUGUCAAUCCCUAAAAAAUAGUUAACAGAUUGGCAAAGUUUUAUGUAAGCCAAAAGCAUAAUUAUUAAGAGGAGUAAUAUUUCAAUAAUUUUAACGCUGUAACAUCGUGAUUAGACUGCCUAUGCUUAUGCAAAUUUAUAUUUUUAUGGACACAGCUAAAGAAAUACCGCUUAAGCAAUUCCUAAUUUACUCUGCAAAAAUUCCUAAUUUAACAUCCAACGAGCGAUGUUCAACAAAUUUUCAAAUCAAUACAAAAACACCUAUCUCACUCUCUUCAAAAUCAAAUACAAAGAGAAUUUUAUUAACGUGAAAUUGAUCGUCGAUCGAUCGAAUCUUGAAACUGGUUUCCUGUAAAAGAAAAAAGAAAAAGAAAUGGGAAAUGCGAGUAAUCAUGUUCUCCUGUGAUCUUCGGUUGAAAAGGAACGUUCUCACCUGUGUUUUUUAUGGCAACGUAACGAAGUGGGCUGUUUCUGAGUUGAAACUAUCGCGGAUAGAAGGCCCGGCGCGCGCCAUGAUCGACCGAGAUGAUAGAUCGUUUCUAGAAAGUACUCUAGCAUACACGCAUCACGCAAUCGUAUCAAAUCUAUGAAAGUCCACCUACAUGUAGGCUGUACACGUACGAUUCGCCGUUUCACCUCAAGCAGUGAAACCCGAGACGCUGUCCUUUCGAGCUGCAUUUAUGCGCCGUGAUUAAACGUGAACUAGAUACACACCUUGCGGCAAAACAAUCCAUGUUCUUUCUCUUUUGUAAUGUUAGAGACGCUUAUUAGUAUAGAACCUAUCGUACGUAUCGAUUGUAUUCUUAUUGGAAGUUGGAUGGAAUGUUAUAUGUUUGGUAGAAAUACAAAGCAGAAAGUUAAGAAUUAGGAGUAUCACGUGGUUUUUGCCAGAUUACGAGCAGUUUUAUUUUGCACAUCGUAAAUGAAAGACGAUGAAGAUGACAGAAAAGAUAAACGGAGUAUGUAGAAAUUAGAAAGAAAAUGUUACGUUAAUUAUUUUCGCGUUAAUUAACUUCCAAUGUCACUUUGGAGCGCUUUUCGAUUUUGGAAUAGAUAUUCGUGGUAUAGUGUUGAAGUGCGUGUGAAUAAACUAAUAAAAAAGAUAAAGAAAGUAUAAUAUAGCGAUUAAAACACGAAUUUAUGUUAAUUAUAAACGUCCAAGAUAAUUUUGAGGAGAAACUCUUUUUAGUACGUUUUAUUAAAAAGCACGUGCAUAUAAAUUAGUUCAGUUUAUCAUAGCAUUGAUUUUUUAUUAAUUAUAAAACGACCUUUAGAAAUUGGCAGCGAUUGAAUAUCUUACUCUUAGAAGAAAUAAGUAAAUGUAUGUAAAUUAUUUCUUUAAACAGAACAAAUAUAAUGAAUGCUUAAUUCCUUAUAUAACUCUAAUAUGGAAUUCCAAAUUUAAUUCACUAUCUAAUAUUUCACAAAAUAUUUCAAAAUACCAGAAUACCAUAUACCGAACACCAUAAAUAUACCAUACAGUAUAAUACCAAAAAUAAGAUAUCCAUAAUAGUCAAUUACAUUUCGUGAAAUUGACAUGCUGGAUUUCAAAAUCAACGUAGGUACAGAUUAACACAGCAUCUGUUUCGAAAAGAACAUGGGGACUGUCACCACGCGAGUUUCUUACAAUUAGUAUUUUUCUGCGUGACACUUAAGAUAUUCAUGAUAUAUAAGCUGCACGCUUCUCGGUGAGAGGAAAUGUCAAUACAGAAACAUGGUGGCAACGAUUUACGUCAGCGGAGAAACGAGCAUAUGAUUUCGGCGAUCCGUCAUCUGAGAAACAAGUGCAUUCUUGAUAUACUUGUAUCCACGGAAUUCGUGUCAUGUAAUUGGAACGGAAACGAGUAGGCGUAUAUUAAUCGAUGGACAUCAGUUGGUUCGUAUUAUCUUGCCACGCAUCCUCAGUAAUCUAAUACUAGCCGACGAAAAUCUACAUUUCAAAUGAUACGAAGUUUAAGAUUAUUAAAUAGAUUCGCUACGUUUGCAAAUUUUUCAAGUAUUUGACACGUUUCGUAUGCUACUACUUCGUGCAAUGUAUCGAAUACAUCGAUCAAACUCCAAAGGCCCACCAAAGACCUACGUCACGUAAAUACCUCCAUCACCAAUUCCUCUUUCCAGAUCUCAAAAAAAAAUCCAUCUUCUGAAGCUGAUCGAAGCUCCAGUAUCCCACUCCUACAAAAUACAAAACACCCCAGUAGAACUCCGGUAGAACUCCAUCUAUCUGAACUUAAACAGUUUACAUAAUUGUGCUUCAUACGAUAGAAAUUCACCAAUGGUUUUUCCUUCGUGUAAUAAGGAUUCAUAUUCCGGUAAACGAAUUCAAUCGACAAACGUUCAAUCGACUUAAAAUUCAAACGAUUAAACCGAUAACUACAGUUCUACCGAGUAUCGAGUACAUCACUGAAAGUCAAAAUAAAAAAAAAAAAAAAAAUGGAAAAGAAGAAUAAGGGGAUCGUUACAGUGGCAUAAAAAUGCAGCGUUCGCCAAGAAUUGGCCAGCGCUAGAGCUGCACGCGGUGACUGCAAUAUGCACGCAGCGAUGAUACGCGGCGCGCGACAAUUUACGUUACCGGGCAAACUAGUGGAUGAUUUAAGCGGACCCUGUGUGUCGGCUUGGCUUAAACAACAACAGCUGCGUAUCCGCGGCGCACGCGACCAGUGACUCGCAGCGUCGGAUCGCACAGCCGAUGAAAAACCUUCUAUUAGCGGUUUGGCCAUCGUUCGGCCCGCGUUAUCCUCUGAUACAUUAAUGACGCGUCAAGUCAGCGCAUGACAACGCGGCUACCCUCUGGCGCAGAGGUCCAUCCUCGAUCCUCUCUUCGCCUUCCCUCUUUGUCCGUCUCUCAACCAUCCUACACUUUCUAUCGUCGUCUAUCUAACAGUUUACCUUCUAUCCUCUUCUAUUCACCGGUUCAGCCAGUUCAAGCGUCUUUGUCGCGCUCUGGUGUGGCUCUUCUCUGUCUCACCCCGUCUAUCUCGCCCCACCCCCGCCACCCACUCUCUAACCCCUCUGUGCGAACUCUCUGCUACCGGGCUCUGUGAGGAGAUCAAUAGGGAUCCUACACCCCGUUCCUCCGCCGACGUGCCAGAGGAGGACAAAGGUACCACUACUCCUGGCUCUCUGAUGUUCCAACGCUUCCACGCACGUGCCUAUCCACGAUACUCGCGACUCGUCUACGCGUCGUUCCGCGAGUUUUACGCCAGCAGGAAUAAAAAAGACGCGGGCGCACUCACGUGGAAGAGGGAACGUCGAGUGGGGAUCGCGGGUUAAAGGAUCAAGGAUGCGAGAUCUAGGAUCGGGAGUCUGGGUGACUGGUAAUGAAGUUUGGCCUCGGUUGCGUUUGAUAGGCUUUUAUGACGGUGGCCAGAGAUUUAGAUAAGUGUGGAAUUGUGGAUAUGAUUAUUCUGUAAUGGAUACAUUGGUAUUGGUAUUGUACGUGAGUUGGCCAACGUUACGUAACACACCUCACGCGGAUUGUGGGAUUUUAUUAACAAAUUUCGAAAAGUAGAUAAUUUAUCCUGUAAAGAAGUUUAGAGAGUCGAUCAGUAAACUGUGGAUUUUUAUGCAUUUAAGAGUGAUUUAAAGGUGUGAUAACGUACAAGAUAUAAAGCGUAACGUAUAAAUCAGCGAAUCGUUAAACGAAUCAUUAAAAAUAUUUUACGAUCUGGUAGAAAGUAUUCGAAAAUACUGUUAAAGGAAUUUCUAUUCUAGUUCUACUUCUUUAGCUGUGUUCAUAAAAAUAUGAAUUUGCAUGAACAUCCACAGUCUGGUAAUCCAAUAGCUUAGCGUAGAUUGGUUUAAUUCGGGGCUAUCGUUGAUGCGACAUAUGAUUUUCGUUUCGUAAUUUGUAUUUUAUACGAUAGAGCCAGUUAAUGCCUUUAUCGUGUAACAUAGUCCAAAUGUAACUCAAACUGUUGUAGUUACCUGUCCCGACGAUACUACGCUAGUGUUGAGAGUUCAUUUGUUUCGUAUAAUGUAACGUAAUUAUUAUAACAUUUAUUAUGAAUAGGCAGCGGAGUGUGUACUUUGGAUCUUAAUUUGUAUUGUAUAACACAGUCGCUACGUAUAGCGUAACUGUUAACAUACAUUAUGUAUGUGUAGUUAAAAUUGUGAGAUCAGCUAUAAAUAAUGUUGUUACUUCUAUGUACGUACUAUUUUCAUAUUGUACUACCACUUGUAUAAUGUAUGUGGCUAUCUGAAUGUGUAAUUUAUUGUUUCAAUGAGAAUAUUGUUACUCGUAUAUUUAACGUAAUAUCAAUCAUUUUGAUAUUAACUUUGUCCCAAUGUCUUUUGGAAAAUUUUAAUACUUCGCUUUACAAGAAAAUUUCGUAGACGAAUGGGGAGAUAUUUGUCUAAUACACAAGCUUUCAUCGAGAUUUAUAAUUAAAGACUUACACAAUUACAUGUGAUUAAAUUCGAUAUAUAGAAUGGAAUAUACCAAUAGUAAAUAAUAUGAGUAAUUUCUUGUGUUUAUUCAUUUCGUUUUAUUAUAAUUGUAUGGAUAUAUUAAUUGUAGAAGCGUAAGUGUUUUGAUCGAAGCAUUGAUCGAAUUCUAUUCCAACAGCUAGGAAUUACGUAGUUUAUUGAGGUCGAAUUCGAUACAGUAUAAUACCGUAACAAUGUACACUUCCUGAGUUUUCAAACAGAGGAGAAAAUAGAGAUCUGCUACUUUCUAAAUAUCGUA